rnacentral:rRNA from 1 species
GGUUAAGCGACUAAGCGUACACGGUGGAUGCCCUGGCAGUCAGAGGCGAUGAAGGACGUGCUAAUCUGCGAUAAGCGUCGGUAAGGUGAUAUGAACCGUUAUAACCGGCGAUUUCCGAAUGGGGAAACCCAGUGUGAUUCGUCACACUAUCAUUAACUGAAUCCAUAGGUUAAUGAGGCGAACCGGGGGAACUGAAACAUCUAAGUACCCCGAGGAAAAGAAAUCAACCGAGAUUCCCCCAGUAGCGGCGAGCGAACGGGGAGCAGCCCAGAGCCUGAAUCAGUGUGUGUGUUAGUGGAAGCGUCUGGAAAGGCGCGCGAUACAGGGUGACAGCCCCGUACACAAAAAUGCACAUACUGUGAGCUCGAUGAGUAGGGCGGGACACGUGGUAUCCUGUCUGAAUAUGGGGGGACCAUCCUCCAAGGCUAAAUACUCCUGACUGACCGAUAGUGAACCAGUACCGUGAGGGAAAGGCGAAAAGAACCCCGGCGAGGGGAGUGAAAAAGAACCUGAAACCGUGUACGUACAAGCAGUGGGAGCACAGAGCAAUCUGUGUGACUGCGUACCUUUUGUAUAAUGGGUCAGCGACUUAUAUUCUGUAGCAAGGUUAACCGAAUAGGGGAGCCGAAGGGAAACCGAGUCUUAACUGGGCGUUAAGUUGCAGGGUAUAGACCCGAAACCCGGUGAUCUAGCCAUGGGCAGGUUGAAGGUUGGGUAACACUAACUGGAGGACCGAACCGACUAAUGUUGAAAAAUUAGCGGAUGACUUGUGGCUGGGGGUGAAAGGCCAAUCAAACCGGGAGAUAGCUGGUUCUCCCCGAAAGCUAUUUAGGUAGCGCCUCGUGAAUUCAUCUCCGGGGGUAGAGCACUGUUUCGGCAAGGGGGUCAUCCCGACUUACCAACCCGAUGCAAACUGCGAAUACCGGAGAAUGUUAUCACGGGAGACACACGGCGGGUGCUAACGUCCGUCGUGAAGAGGGAAACAACCCAGACCGCCAGCUAAGGUCCCAAAGUCAUGGUUAAGUGGGAAACGAUGUGGGAAGGCCCAGACAGCCAGGAUGUUGGCUUAGAAGCAGCCAUCAUUUAAAGAAAGCGUAAUAGCUCACUGGUCGAGUCGGCCUGCGCGGAAGAUGUAACGGGGCUAAACCAUGCACCGAAGCUGCGGCAGCGACACUGUGUGUUGUUGGGUAGGGGAGCGUUCUGUAAGCCUGUGAAGGUGUGCUGUGAGGCAUGCUGGAGGUAUCAGAAGUGCGAAUGCUGACAUAAGUAACGAUAAAGCGGGUGAAAAGCCCGCUCGCCGGAAGACCAAGGGUUCCUGUCCAACGUUAAUCGGGGCAGGGUGAGUCGACCCCUAAGGCGAGGCCGAAAGGCGUAGUCGAUGGGAAACAGGUUAAUAUUCCUGUACUUGGUGUUACUGCGAAGGGGGGACGGAGAAGGCUAUGUUGGCCGGGCGACGGUUGUCCCGGUUUAAGCGUGUAGGCUGGUUUUCCAGGCAAAUCCGGAAAAUCAAGGCUGAGGCGUGAUGACGAGGCACUACGGUGCUGAAGCAACAAAUGCCCUGCUUCCAGGAAAAGCCUCUAAGCAUCAGGUAACAUCAAAUCGUACCCCAAACCGACACAGGUGGUCAGGUAGAGAAUACCAAGGCGCUUGAGAGAACUCGGGUGAAGGAACUAGGCAAAAUGGUGCCGUAACUUCGGGAGAAGGCACGCUGAUAUGUAGGUGAAGUCCCUCGCGGAUGGAGCUGAAAUCAGUCGAAGAUACCAGCUGGCUGCAACUGUUUAUUAAAAACACAGCACUGUGCAAACACGAAAGUGGACGUAUACGGUGUGACGCCUGCCCGGUGCCGGAAGGUUAAUUGAUGGGGUCAGCGCAAGCGAAGCUCUUGAUCGAAGCCCCGGUAAACGGCGGCCGUAACUAUAACGGUCCUAAGGUAGCGAAAUUCCUUGUCGGGUAAGUUCCGACCUGCACGAAUGGCGUAAUGAUGGCCAGGCUGUCUCCACCCGAGACUCAGUGAAAUUGAACUCGCUGUGAAGAUGCAGUGUACCCGCGGCAAGACGGAAAGACCCCGUGAACCUUUACUAUAGCUUGACACUGAACAUUGAGCCUUGAUGUGUAGGAUAGGUGGGAGGCUUUGAAGUGUGGACGCCAGUCUGCAUGGAGCCGACCUUGAAAUACCACCCUUUAAUGUUUGAUGUUCUAACGUGGACCCGUGAUCCGGGUUGCGGACAGUGUCUGGUGGGUAGUUUGACUGGGGCGGUCUCCUCCUAAAGAGUAACGGAGGAGCACGAAGGUUGGCUAAUCCUGGUCGGACAUCAGGAGGUUAGUGCAAUGGCAUAAGCCAGCUUGACUGCGAGCGUGACGGCGCGAGCAGGUGCGAAAGCAGGUCAUAGUGAUCCGGUGGUUCUGAAUGGAAGGGCCAUCGCUCAACGGAUAAAAGGUACUCCGGGGAUAACAGGCUGAUACCGCCCAAGAGUUCAUAUCGACGGCGGUGUUUGGCACCUCGAUGUCGGCUCAUCACAUCCUGGGGCUGAAGUAGGUCCCAAGGGUAUGGCUGUUCGCCAUUUAAAGUGGUACGCGAGCUGGGUUUAGAACGUCGUGAGACAGUUCGGUCCCUAUCUGCCGUGGGCGCUGGAGAACUGAGGGGGGCUGCUCCUAGUACGAGAGGACCGGAGUGGACGCAUCACUGGUGUUCGGGUUGUCAUGCCAAUGGCACUGCCCGGUAGCUAAAUGCGGAAGAGAUAAGUGCUGAAAGCAUCUAAGCACGAAACUUGCCCCGAGAUGAGUUCUCCCUGACCCUUUAAGGGUCCUGAAGGAACGUUGAAGACGACGACGUUGAUAGGCCGGGUGUGUAAGCGCAGCGAUGCGUUGAGCUAACCGGUACUAAUGAACCGUGAGGCUUAACCUU